rnacentral:lncRNA from 1 species
AAAAACUUGUAUUCAGAUAAAAGCACAAAGGCAACAAGAACUAGAAAACAUCAGAUUCAGAGAAAAUAAAACAACAGGCAAGCAAAAUAAAUCCUAAGUGCCUAAGGGUUCGGAGGCGGAGGCAUUCUCUGAAGCAACAUAGCAAGCAUGUUCUGGAUGUUGUCGUUGACAGUAUCUUGCUUGUCCAUUCUGGCCCGGAGUUCAUUCUGAUCUUGCUUAAGUUCUUUCAGAGUCUGAAG